ensembl:lncRNA SLC30A4-AS1 SLC30A4 antisense RNA 1
AGAGUGGGUGUGGAGGAGGAAGACUGGAUGCCAAUGAUCCUGAUCUCACUCUGUCACCAAGGCUGGAGUGCAGCAGCAGAAUUUCAGCUCACUGCAACCUCGACUUGCUGGGUUCAAGGGAUCUCCCAAGUAGCUGGGACUACAGGUGCACACCAUCAUGCCUGGCUAAUUUUUUGUAGGGAUGGGGUUUUACCAUGCUGCCCAGGCUGGUCUUGAACUUCUGAGUUCAAGCGAUCCUCCCUCCUGAGCCUCCUAAAGUGCUGGGAUUACAGGUUUAAAAAAUAUCCUGGACUUUGGAAAAUAUUCUUAUAUAAAGAAGCAAAAAGAGGAUGGAAUAGACUUGUGCUAACACUGAAACUCCAGUCAAGUUGUAAACUGAAAAAGAACGUGUUGAAACAAGGAAUUGCCCCAUAGCCUUCACAGGAUCUCACUCUGUUGCAGUGUCACUGGAGUGCAGUGGUGCAGUCUUGGCUUCCUGCACCAUCUGCCUUCCAGAAUCAAGCAAUUAUCCAGCUUCAGCCUCCCGAGUAGCUGGGACCACAGACGUGCCACCAUGCCUGGCUUAUUUUUUUAUUUUUUGUAGAGAUGGGGUUUCACCAUUGUUGCCCAGGCUGGGCUCAACUCCUGAGCUCAAAGUGAUCCAUCUGCCUCAGCCUCCCAAAGUGCUGGAAUUACAGGCUCAGUCUAUACUAGUAUAUUUACAACUAUAUUUUAUUACAAUAUUUAUUAAAUAUUGUUGUCUUUUGCUAGGAAACUUAAAAACCUUAAAGAACAUCAUUUGUGAGCUCCCAAUUGGCACAAAUUACAUAAGGUACUCUACACAUAUUUUUAUUUUCUUAACUUUUUGUUAUAACAAGUGAAAAAUCUAAAAAUCAACUGAAUAAGCUUUUAUGUUGAAAAGUAUACUUAAAUGAUUCUGGUGAUCAUGGUGUUCUAGUAAGAAAAAUGCUUUGCUAGUGAUGUGACAGCGUACGGCAUAUGAAUAAUAUUUGAAAUCUUGCUACUCUUUUCUUAUAUUCUGCCCCAAACCCAAAGGAAGUUUAAAAUGAGAAAAAAGGUAAAGGUAUGAAAGAACCUUUGGUGACUCAGGUGGCUUCAGACUUACCAGUCACAAAAACUUGCAAGCAGGUUCUAGGAGACUUCACUGCAUCCAUAUAUGCUGUUAAUAGUGUUUUUUUUUUUUUUUGAGACGGAGUCUCACUCUGUUGCCCAGGCUAGAGUGCAGUGGUGUGAUCUCGGCUCGGCUCGCUGCAACCUCCACCUCCUGGGUUCAAGUAAUUCUUCCACUUCAGCCUUACGAGUAGCUGGGACUAUAGGCACCUGCCACCAUGCCAAGCUAAUUUUUGUAUUUUUAGUAGAGACGGGGUUUCACCAUGUUGGCCAGGCUGGUCUCAAACUCCUGACCUCAAGUGCCCACUCCAGCCUCCCAAAGUGCUGGGAUUACAGGCAUGAGCCACCGCACCCGGCUUGUUAUAGUCUUAAAACACUCUACACCAGGGGUUAGUAAACGUUUCCUAUAAAGGGCCAGAUAGUAAAUAUUUUAUGUCACUACGCAACUCUCCACGGUAGCAUGGAAGCAGCCAUAGACAAUACGUAACUGAAUGAGUGUGGUGUGUUCCGGUAACGCUUUAUAGACACAGAAAUUCACUUAAAGUCCAUAUAAUUUUCACAUGCCAUGAAAUAUUUACUGUUUUUUUUUGGGGGGGGAUGGGGACAGGGUCUCACUGUCACUCAGGCUAGAGAGCAGUGGCACCAUCACGGCUCAGUGUAGCCUAGACCUCCUGAGCUCAAGUGAUCCUCCUAUCUCUCAGCCUCCUGAGUAGCUGGGAUCACAGGCAUGUGCCACUAUGCCCAGUUAAUUUUUGUAUUUUUUGUAGAGAUGAGGUUUCACCAUGUUGCCAAGGCUGGUCUUGAACUCCUGGGUUCAAGCAAUCCAGCUGCCUUGGCCUCCUGAAAUGUUAGGAUUACAGGCGUGAGCCACUGCACCCAGUGAUUUAAUAGAUGUAAAAAUCAUUCUUAGUUCUUGGGGCAAAUAAAACAGGCUUGCAGGCCAGAUUUGGCCUGGGAGGUAUAGUGUAGACUGGUCCACACGAUUGGAGAGUCAGCAGGCUCUUACUCUCAGACUUCCUGGUGGUCCUCACCAGUCUAUUUUACAGUGGCUUCUUUAUUUCCUUUCUGCCACUGUUGAUGGGACUGUAGCGUCACUGCAUGUGACUGAUACCAAAAGAGAAAGGUUCUUUUAAUUAAUCUUUCCAUACUAUCCAGAAGAUUUUUUUCAGUUUUAUUUCUUAAACAUAUAAGAGGGCAUUAUAAAAUGACAUUAUAAUUAUAAAAGAUUUUCUUUUAAGAACAAUGUUUUUAGGCCUACUAAUAUUACUUAAUAAAAAGAGCAGAUAUUU